rnacentral:tRNA from 1 species
UGCCCGGAUAGCUCAGUCGGUAGAGCAGGGGAUUGAAAAUCCCCGUGUCCUUGGUUCGAUUCCGAGUCCGGGCNN